rnacentral:rRNA from 1 species
UACGUAGGGGGCAAGCGUUGUCCGGAAUCAUUGGGCGUAAAGCGCGUGUAGGCGGCCAGAAAAGUCCGCUGUGAAAACUCGAGGCUCAACUUCGAGCUGUCGGUGGAAACUUUCUGGCUAGAGUCCGGAAGAGGAGAAUGGAAUUCCUGGUGUAGCGUGAAAUGCGCAGAUAUCAGGAAGAACACCCGUGGCGAAGGCGGUUCUCUGGACGGUACUGACGCUGAGACGCGAAAGCGUGGGGAGCGAACAGG